GACGAACGCUGGCGGCGUGCUUAACACAUGCAAGUCGAACGGAAAGGCCCUGCUUUCGUGGGGCGCUCGAGUGGCGAACGGGUGUGUAACACGUGAGUAACCUGCCCUUGACUUUGGGAUAACUUCAGGAAACUGGGGCUAAUACCGGAUAGGCGCUCCUGCUGCAUGGUGGGGGUAGGUAAGUUUCGGCGGUUGGGGUUGGACUCGCGGCUUAUCUGCUUGUGGGUGGGUGAGUGGCUUACAAAGGCACUGACGGGUAGCCGGCCUGGGUGGGUGACCGGCCACAUUGGGACUGGGUAAGGGCCCAAACUCCUACGGGGGGCGGCGGUGGGGAAAAUUGCACAAUGGGCGAAGGCCGGAGGCAGCAACGCCGCGUGCGGAAUGACGGCCUUCGGUUUGAAAACCGCUUUCGCCGGUGACGAAGCGUGUGUGACGGUAAUUGGUAAAGAAGCACCGGCUAACUACGUG
rnacentral:rRNA from 1 species